AGUGAACGCUGGCGGUAGGCCUAACACAUGCAAGUCGAACGGCAGCACAGUAAGAGCUUGCUCUUACGGGUGGCGAGUGGCGGACGGGUGAGGAAUACAUCGGAAUCUACUAUUUCGUGGGGGAUAACGUAGGGAAACUUACGCUAAUACCGCAUACGACCUACGGGUGAAAGCAGGGGAUCUUCGGACCUUGCGCGAUUGAAUGAGCCGAUGUCGGAUUAGCUAGUUGGCGGGGUAAAGGCCCACCAAGGCGACGAUCCGUAGCUGGUCUGAGAGGAUGAUCAGCCACACUGGAACUGAGACACGGUCCAGACUCCUACGGGAGGCAGCAGUGGGGAAUAUUGGACAAUGGGCGCAAGCCUGAUCCAGCCAUACCGCGUGGGUGAAGAAGGCCUUCGGGCUGUAAAGCCCUUUUGUUGGGAAAGAAAAGCAGCAGGUUAAUACCCCGCUGUUCUGACGGUACCCAAAGAAUAAGCACCGGCUAACUUCGUG
rnacentral:rRNA from 1 species